GCCCCCCCGUUGCCCCCCCAGCGGGGCUGCUGCCCCCCCCAGUGCUCCCAGUCCCUCCCAGUUCCUCCCAGUCCCUCCCAGUGCUCCCCCAGCCCCCCCGUUGCCCCCCCAGAGGGGCUGCUGCCCCCCCCCAGUGCUCCCAGUCCCUCCCAGUCCCUCCCAGUACUCCCCCAGCCCCCCCGUUGCCCCCCCAGAGGGGCUGCUGCCCCCCCGGCGCCGCGGGGCCGCCCUGCGCCGCUUCUAUGCCCUGGUGGCCCCCCGCUACUUCCCCCCCCCCGGGGGGGGCCCAGCCCCCCCCGGGGGGGCGGCCCGGCUGUGCUACGCGGCCCGGGGGUCGCACGCGGCCUGCGCCCUGCUGUGCCCCCCCCUGCUGCUGCUGCUGCUGCUGCCGCCGGGGCCCCGGCAGCGCCUGCGCCAGGCCGCCCGCGCCGCCCUCGCCGCCCUGGAGCCACCGUAGCCCCGGACGCCUGGGCCCCCCGGACGCCUGGGCCCCCCCGGACACCUGGGAGCCGCCCGCGCCGCCCUCGAGCCGCCGUAGCCCCGGACGCCUGGGCCCCCCGGACGCCUGGGCCCCCCGGACACCUGGGAGCCGCCCGCGCCGCCCUCGCCGCCCUCGAGCCACCGUAGCCCCGGACGCCUGGGCCCCCCGGACGCCUGGGCCCCCCCGGACACCUGCGCCAGGCCGCCCGCGCCGCCCUCGCCGCCCUGGAGCCACCGUAGCCCCGGACGCCUGGGCCCCCCGGACGCCUGGGCCCCCCCGGACACCUGGGAGCCGCCCGCGCCGCCCUCGAGCCGCCGUAGCCCCGGACGCCUGGGCCCCCCGGACGCCUGGGCCCCCCGGACACCUGGGAGCCGCCCGCGCCGCCCUCGAGCCACCGUAGCCCCGGACGCCUGGGCCCCCCGGACGCCUGGGCCCCCCCGGACACCUGGGAGCCGCCCGCGCCGCCCUUGCCGCCCUCGAGCCGCCGUAGCCCCGGACGCCUGGGCCCCCUGGACGCCUGGGCCCCCCGGAUGCCUGCGCCAGGCCGCCCGCGCCGCCCUCACCGCCCUCGAGCCGCCGUAGCCCCGGACGCCUGGGCCCCCCGGACGCCUGGGCCCCCCCGGACACCUGGGAGCUGCCCUCGCCGCCCUCGAGCCACCGUAGCCCCGGACGCCUGGGCCCCCCGGACGCCUGGGCCCCCCCGGACACCUGGGAGCCGCCCGCGCCGCCCUUGCCGCCCUCGAGCCGCCGUAGCCCCGGACGCCUGGGCCCCCUGGACGCCUGGGCCCCCCGGAUGCCUGCGCCAGGCCGCCCGCGCCGCCCUCACCGCCCUCGAGCCGCCGUAGCCCCGGACGCCUGGGCCCCCCGGACGCCUGGGCCCCCCCGGACACCUGGGAGCUGCCCUCGCCGCCCUCGAGCCACCGUAGCCCCGGACGCCUGGGCCCCCCGGACGCCUGGGCCCCCCCGGACACCUGGGAGCCGCCCGCGCCGCCCUUGCCGCCCUCGAGCCGCCGUAGCCCCGGACGCCUGGGCCCCCUGGACGCCUGGGCCCCCCGGAUGCCUGCGCCAGGCCGCCCGCGCCGCCCUCACCGCCCUCGAGCCGCCGUAGCCCCGGACGCCUGGGCCCCCCGGACGCCUGGGCCCCCCCGGACACCUGGGAGCUGCCCUCGCCGCCCUCGAGCCACCGUAGCCCCGGACGCCUGGGCCCCCCGGACGCCUGGGCCCCCCCGGACACCUGGGAGCCUCCCACGCCGCCCGCGCCGCCCUCGAGCCACCGUAGCCCCGGAUGCCUGGGCCCACCGGACGCCUGAGCCCCCUGGACACCUGGGAGCCACCAGCGCCGCCCACGCCGCCCUCGAGCCACCGUAGCCCCGGACGCCUGGGCCCCCCGGACGCCUGGGCCCCCCGGACGCCUGCGCCAGGCCGCCCACGCCACCCUGGAGCCACCGUAGCCCCGGACGCCUGGGCCCCCCCGGACACCUGGGCCCCUCAAGGCUCCCGGAGAAUAAAGGCGGCUGCUGGGCCA